rnacentral:rRNA from 1 species
CAGCCGCCGCGGGAAUACGAGGGGAGCUAGCGUUAUUCGGAAUUACUGGGCGUAAAGCGCACGUAGGCGGCUUUGUAAGUUAGAGGUGAAAGCCCAGAGCUCAACUCUGGAAUUGCCUUUAAGACUGCAUCGCUUGAAUCCAGGAGAGGUGAGUGGAAUUCCGAGUGUAGAGGUGAAAUUCGUAGAUAUUCGGAAGAACACCAGUGGCGAAGGCGGCUCACUGGACUGGUAUUGACGCUGAGGUGCGAAAGCGUGGGGAGCAAACAGGAUUAGAUACCCGCGUAGUCCCUGUCUCUUAUAC